CUGGCGGGAGGCGGGGGGUGCAAUUCUCCCAUAGUGCCUGCGCCAGCCAGCACCUCCCUGGGCGUGCCACGGCCUGGGGCCUCCCCUCUGCCAACCUCGCGGCCUGGGGCCUCCCCUCUGCCAUUGCCAUAGCAAGGAGCCACCCAUGUGCCAGCGCCAUGGCCCAGCGCCUGAGUGCCAACCCCACAGCCUGGCGCGCCCCCUCUGCCAUCGCCACAGCCUGGCGCCUCCCGUGUGCCAACCCCACAGCCUGGCGCCUCCCCUCUGCCAAGCCCACAGCCUGGCGCCUCCCCUCUGCCAUCGCUGUGUCCCGGUGACUCCCAUGUGCCAUCGCCACAGCCUGGCACCUUCCCUCUGCCAAUGCCACAGCCCUGCGCCUCCUCUGUGCCAUCACCAUGGCCUGGUGCCUCACCACAUGUGUGCCAAAGCGAUGCCCUGGUGCCUCGCCUCUCGUGUCCAAACGCCACAGCCCGGCGCAUCCCUUGUGCCAAUGCCACAGUCUGGUGCCUCACCUCUCCUCUGCCAACACUAGAGCCCGGUGCCUCCUGUUUGUCAAUGUCAUGGCUCAGUGCCUGCUGUGUGCCAGGACUUCAUCUUCUGUGUGCCAAUGCCACAGCAUGGUGCCUCGCUGUGCUUGUGCACAGCCCGGCACCUCUCGUGUGUGCCAAUGCCACAGGCCAGUACCGCCUGUGUGCCAGUGCCCUGGCCCAGUGUCUCCCAUGUGCCAAUGUCAUGGCCUGGCGCUUCGCCUCCCAUGUGCUAAUGUCACAGCCCUGCACCUCACCGUGUGUGCCAGUACCAGGCUUGGCAGUUUGCCUCUCGUGCCAAUACAAUGGGCCGGUGCCUUGCUGCAUCUGCCAGCGCCAUAACCCAGAGCCUCACUGCACAUGUGCCAAUGCCAUGGCCUGGCACCUCACUGGGUGUGCCAGCACUAUGGCUCAGCGCCUGGCCUCCCGUGUGCCAGCACCAUGGCGCGGUGUGUCGCUAUGUGUGUUUCCGUGCCAACAUGCCUUCAGCUCACUGGUCUCUCCCCUCCCCAUCAACAAAAGAGUCCUUGUGCCGACUCGAGCUAAUGAAUAUGACUAUUUUACAGAGCCAUUACAUUUUUCUGUUACUUUAUCAUUUUUCUUUCCAUACCCAGCCCGCGGAGGUGUGAAUGGCAGAGCUUCCUUACGUGUCGCAAGUGAAAAAUGAAACAAAAUGGCACAUUAAACCAACAAGGCAGCACAAAAACUGGCCAGGACAGUCAAAAAACAGCCAGGUGGCAACCCUACUUCACGUUCGCCUGUGCCAAUAUCAACAUGAUGCAUCGAAUGCCUCCGACACACCUGUGCCAACAUCACCACUGAUUAUACAAAUCUUCCGAUAUGCCGGUGCCAGCCUCACCGCCCAGCACACUGAAUCCCCUGACACACCUGUGCCAUCACGAUGCACUGGCUCCCACAUCAAUGCUGGCAUCAAUCAACCUAUAUGAAAUCCCACAUUGCCAGCCUCAGUGUACUCCAAUCAUGUGUCAGCUCCUCCAAAAUCAUGAGCCAUUUUAUGACCAGGUGUGAUCUGCCCAUCGGUUUCUACAUCUCGUCUAAAAGAUGACAUCUCCAGCAGCACCGACCUCCUUAGCACUGCACACUGCAUCAAAGAGUGACCAAAUUUGAACUUGCUUCAUAGCCAUGGUGGUUUGGCUGCUGGAUACAGAAAAUCUCCACAUCACAAGUCAGUCUUUGUUCUGCACAUCAUGGUGCAUUGUAAACAAUCUGCGGUGUAUUUGUGGCUAUGGGGAAGAUAUACAUGAAAGCUCCAAAGGUAGGGUGACCAGAUAGCAACUGUGAAAAAAUAGGGUGGGAGUGGGGGGUAAUAGGUGCCUAUAUAAGAAAAAGUCCCCCAAAAUGGGACUGUCCCUUUAAAAACGGGACAUCUGAUCACCCUAUCCAAAGGGUUAAUCAAUUCUGCAAAAUUGCUAGGUAUUAGCAUCCUGCUCUCAGAAUCACCGACCAACCAAAGGUCUGAUGAUGUAAGUCAUUUUUCUUGUGUUUCACUGGGUGAAUGUGAUUUCAAGCUGCUUGCAGAGGUGUGGAGUGGGGGGAAUUCUGAAAUGGACAGAAUUUUGCUCCUUGUGUACUUGAAGUUAGCACUUAGUAAACAGCAACUCUAAUGUUUUUUACAAACAGGGUUGGGGUGAGGAGGUGUUGGUCACAGACUCGCACCAGUGACUGUGAAAACGAUCACUAAACUGACUAAGCCAAAUGAUCUAAGAACAGGCAUUUGUGAGCGUAGGUUUAACCUUUGGGUAUACCAUUCUGCACUGAUGACAAAAAGUUCAUUUCGUUUUCAAACCCAAGAAACUCCACCUGUUCUCGUCAUUUUGAGAAACAGAGGGUAAGAAACACCUUCAUUAGUUGUGUGGUGUGAAACAAAUACAGAACUCUUUCACUUCUGAUAAUUAGCAAGUGAUUUUCAAAAGUAGUUUAUGGGUAACACAUAUGAAGGGCUAGAUUUUCAGAACAGAAUGAGCAAAAAUAUGUUGGCAAUUGGUGAGCCUUAUUUACAUGCAAAAUUACCACGAUGAGCGUACGAUGGUGCUGAGAGACUCCAUUUGAGAUCAGGACCCCACUGUGUAGGUGCUUUACAUAUACAUAGGAAAAGAUAGCCCCUCUCUAAAGAGCUUACAGUCUAAACAGGCAAAGGGGUAUGGAAAAGAAAGUAUUAUCUCAGUUUUACAGAUGAGGAGCUGAGGUAAAGAGACAUUAAGUGAUUUACCUGUGAUCACAAAGGAAGUCUGUGGCAGAGGCAAGAACUGAGUCCCGAGCUCUUCAGUCCAAGUACAAUUCCUUAACCUCAAAAACCAUCCUUUGUCUCUGCAAACUGAGUAUUUGUGGCUGCAAAUAUCUAGUUAUGGAUCUAAUUUCUCUUUGUGUGUGCACAUAACCGAUUUGCACACACAGUUACAGUAAGUGUGUAUGCAAAUUAGGUGUGCAAUUGUGCAUGCAUUUUUGUGCAAGCAGUUCUAAAAAUCUGAGCCAUAAUUCUUUCAGUUUUGUACGAGUGGUGCUUCUGGGCUUGUCAGGAACUCAGUACCCACAAAUUGGAGAAAAAAGUACUUGAAACCACAAGGCAAGGCAGUGGGGCUUGUCUCUGAAAGGUAGCCAGCCAUGUAGUUGAAUGGUUUUCCUGUUUCAUUUCUAAGAAAACCAGAGGAGCAUUGGAUGUUAUUGCAAUAUUUGACAAACUGUAGAAAACUGCUUUGAAACUGCAGCUUCAGGUCAUAUAUUUUAUACUGAUUAUCUUCUGU